GACGAACGCUGGCGGCGUGCUUAACACAUGCAAGUCGAACGGAAAGGCCCUGCUUGCAGGGUACUCGAGUGGCGAACGGGUGAGUAACACGUGGGUGAUCUGCCCUGCACUUCGGGAUAAGCCUGGGAAACUGGGUCUAAUACCGGAUAGGAGCCAUUUUUAGUGUGAUGGUUGGAAAGUUUUUUCGGUGUAGGAUGAGCUCGCGGCCUAUCAGCUUGUUGGUGGGGUAAUGGCCUACCAAGGCGGCGACGGGUAGCCGGCCUGAGAGGGUGGACGGCCACAGUGGGACUGAGAUACGGCCCAGACGCCGACGGGAGGGAGAAGUGGGGAAGAUUGCACAAGGGGCGCAAGCCGGAUGCAGCGACGCCGCGGGGGGGAGGACGGCCUUCGGGUUGUAAACUCCUUUCGCUAGGGACGAAGCUUUUUGUGACGGUACCUAGAUAAGAAGCACCGGCUAACUACGUG
rnacentral:rRNA from 1 species